rnacentral:hammerhead_ribozyme from 1 species
AUCCAGCUGAAGAGUCCCAAAUAGAAUAAAACGCGCGUCCUGGAU